rnacentral:rRNA from 1 species
GAGUUUGAUCCUGGCUCAGGAUGAACGCUGGCGGCGUGCCUAACACAUGCAAGUCGAGCGGAGUAAUCUUGAUGAAGUUUUCGGAUGGAAUCAGGAUUGACUUAGCGGCGGACGGGUGAGUAACACGUGGAUAACCUGCCUUAUACUGGGGGAUAACAGCCAGAAAUGGCUGCUAAUACCGCAUAAGCGCACGGCGCCGCAUGGCGCAGUGUGAAAAACUCCGGUGGUAUAAGAUGGAUCCGCGCCUGAUUAGCUAGUUGGCGGGGCAGCGGCCCACCAAGGCGACGAUCAGUAGCCGGCCUGAGAGGGCGACCGGCCACAUUGGGACUGAGACACGGCCCAAACUCCUACGGGAGGCAGCAGUGGGGAAUAUUGCACAAUGGGGGGAACCCUGAUGCAGCGACGCCGCGUGAGUGAAGAAGUAUUUCGGUAUGUAAAGCUCUAUCAGCAGGGAAGAAGAUGACGGUACCUGACUAAGAAGCCCCGGCUAACUACGUGCCAGCAGCCGCGGUAAUACGUAGGGGGCAAGCGUUAUCCGGAUUUACUGGGUGUAAAGGGAGCGUAGACGGCAGGGCAAGUCUGGAGUGAAAGCCCGGGGCCCAACCCCGGGACUGCUUUGGAAACUGCCAUGCUAGAGUGCUGGAGAGGUAAGCGGAA